AUACACACUGUAAAAACAAACGUGUUACCGUAACACACGUGUAGCGUGUCACAUGUGUGCUAAAUUGCUCUACGUAUGUCAAAUCAGCACAUUAGUAAGUACAUGCGUGCUAUUUUAGCCCACUGGUACCACUUUAACCCAUGUGUAUGUGUGUUACACAUGUGCUAAUUGACCCAACGUGUGUUAUAUAAGCAUAGUAGUAAACUACAUGUGUGCUAUUUCAGCACUGGUAUUACAGCAAUAGAAUGUGGUAUAUUACGGUUUAUAAUCAAGUGUAGUGAUAAUUGUAGUGAUAUUUGAGCCAUUUCUGAGAGUGAGUAGCAUCACUAACUUGAUUAGUAAAUGAUUAUGGCAUGCAUGUGAGCACUGAUCUAAGUCAACAUAGGAUCAUAUCUAAUUAUAGAUAUCUUGCUGACAGGUGGUACAGUCUUUAUCCUUCAUAAAAGAGCAAGAGAAGACCAUUGAGUUCUCAUUUAUAAAGUAUUUUGUUUGUUGGCUGUUUUAAAUCUUUUUUUAGCUUUUCUAUAUAAAGCCCAGUGCAGAAGUUGCUACGCGCAUGCGCAGUUUCUAGUUGCUAUAGCUCCUUCGCAGCUGGAUUCUAGAACAAAAGCAGAAGAGUCAAAAGCAGUCUAAAAGAUACCACCAAGGACCAAGAGUUGUUUAAAAGCUGAAAGAGCUGAAAGAGCUGAAAGAGCUGAAAGAGGAUGGUGUCAAAGCAAGUGCUGCAGCUUGUAGCCUAUACUACUAAGAUACUACUAGGAGACUACACUAUAGAGUGUCUAAAAUAAGGAGGGACCAGGAGUUAUUUAAAAGCUGAAAGAGGAUUGUUUCAUGACCAGACUCGACUGGAGUAAAGCAAGUGUUUUUCUAGGCAUUGACGGAAAAAGGCUAUGGUAUGACUUUGACGAGCUGUAUAUAGUUCCAACCCAGUGGACAGGCUUCAGCACCUUGUUCAUGUUCACACCCAACUGUGCUUCGGCACUCAACUUGAUAUGGCAUGGCUCCAUCCUGAAAUUUCAUCACCGAAGACGAUUGCCAAGAAGGCCGUACCUGCCUCUGUUGUAGCUUCUAACACUUUAUAACGAAGAAGCAGACAAUGGUACUAUUAAUUUGCUGCAACAAUACUCUGUACUCAUGCAGGACAUACUUUAUGUUCCUGUACAUUUUCAAUCACUUUUUCUGCUGUUUCAUCGAGUGUACGUAUAAUUUAAUUGCACCUCCAUUUAUCUUUUCACAGUCACAUGCCAACAACGUCACUAUUAAUAAUUUAUUGCAUGCUACA